rnacentral:misc_RNA from 1 species
GUGAAUCAUCAAAUUUUUGAACGCAAAUUGCACUCUCUUCGGAGAGUAUGUCUGUUUGAGGGUCAGCCUAAAAAAAAUCGACAUAGUCCCUGUUUCGCGGUGCCGUUCGUCGGAAGUUGGGUAAUCUUAAACCUUCGGUUUUUAGGCGGCUUAAAAUUUUCUUUCCGAUUCCCCGAACGUUUCUAAGAUUUACUUCUUAAACGUUUAAGGUAAUCAAUCUUUUUUAACCGUGUCC